rnacentral:misc_RNA from 1 species
GGAAAAUUUGCCAAGAUUGCUCCUGCUAUACUUCACGAACACUAGAUCGUCUCAUAGAGGAUAUUUUCAGACUCUUGCUUGCAAUACUAUGGAGUUCUCAGAUGCUGUCAUUAACUCCAACUUGCGAUUCAUUAACUCAGACAACACUGCUCGAGAUCCUUCAGACUUCAGAGUUCCAAGUUCUGAUAGAAUACUUAAAAGGGAGGUUGCAUUUGUUGGAAACGUAUCUGCAGAUUCUCCCUUAUUGGACAUGAUUGAUGCACACAUUCUUCACCGUGGUCACGGUAUGGUCUCACCAGGGGGGUGGUGUUUAGGUAGCUCAAAUUGGUUCAGUGAUCCUUGCGGUGAAUGGGGUGAUCCUAGUGUCUUAAGACCGGGGCCAGCUGCAAAAGGACUUGAAAAUUUCCUCAUGAAAUCGAUCAAAAACAUGUCAAUCAAGUCGAGUAGAUGUGACCAUCAAUGACCACUUAUGGAUCCUGCUAACUCCCUUCUUUGUUUCCUCUUACCGGUAUGAAAGGAUAUGACAACUAUCAGAAAUCAGUGCUUCUGUUUGUUGGUUGCCUUAGCCUUGGAGAUCAGAGUUACCUACUACCUAUGCUAUUCGGAGGUGACAAAUAUCCACUGAAAAUGUUGAGGUGCGCGCAAGCUGUCUCAAACACCAGAUUCAACGAAAAAGAAAAACUAGGGAUUCUUCUCAGGUAUGUACUGUAGUUGGUAUCCGAUGGAAUAGUCCAGGGGCGUACAAGCUUGUUAUAGAAAAAAAUGUGUGCUAGUGUGGUGCAGGUAAUGUAUUUUCACCCAGAAGUGUGUAGAAUAUCGCGAAUCGAACGAUUCUUGUGUCCAUGUACUAAAAUUGUUGCCACUGUCAAAGUUAAAUAUCUAUGUAUGUUAGAAAUGC